rnacentral:tRNA from 1 species
GGCGGCGGCGCCGAGGUGGGGUGCGUCGGCGCCGGAGUUGAGAGCUUUGGCAACCUGGUUGAACAGGCCGUGGAUCCGGCCCAGGUGCCGGCGC